GAGCUGAUCCAAGUUGAAGCCCUCAUUUCUCCCGGCUGACACAAAACUGGGCAGAGUGGCUGACACAGCAAAAGGCUGUGCUGCCUUCCAGCGAGACCUGGAGAGUUGGGUGGGGAGAAACGGAAUGAGAAAGAACAAGGGCAGGUGAUCCUGCCCCAGCAGGGGGAUUGGACGAGGUGAUCUUUGGAGGUCCCUUCCAAUUCCUGACAUUCUGUGAUUCUGUGCAAAGUUGGUUCACGGUAGUACUUUUGCUGCUGGGAAAUAGGAGCGCUGAUCUUUGGGAAGUUCCGGAUGCUGUCAGGAGUUAUUCAAGCCCAUUGGUGUUAAUUUGACCCUGGACUGGCUGCUGCUUGACAUGCUGUCUGCACAGAGAUUUUCAGGAGGAGCUGGAGCUAAUGAAACUGUGUGAGGAAGCUGUGACCUUGAUCCGAUCUAAUCAACAGCUUGAAAAUGACCUCAAUCUCAUGGACCUCAAGAUUGGACUGCUAGUGAAGAACAGAAUGACACUGCAGAAAGAGAACUGCAGCAGAAACAUCAAGGCUUCAAGUGUUUUAAAAACAAAGCACCAGAAAAAAACCCACUCGGGACCAAGGGAAAGCAAUAGAUGGAUGUUGUUUCUCAUAGCAAAAAUCUUAGCAAGGAGA